UUGGUGACCUGGGUGGACAUGUCAUUCACCUAGGUAGAUGUCAGUAGCCCAGUAGUAUGAAGUGACCAACUGUCAAGGUUAUGUUUGCUGUUGGCCUAGUUUUCUGCAAGAUGUUAUGAUGUGGUUAGCAAACAAGCUGUUGGAAGCUUAAGUGUAUGCUGUUUGGAAGCUUUAGUGUAUGCUGUUAUUUUUGUUGCAUGAAUGCUGCACUUUUGUCCAAUAUAAACAAGAUUGGGGCAGGGGUGGGUGGGUGGAUCAUUACGUAACCCAGAAAUAUAUAGCUUGUAUUAAGAUUAGACAUUGGCCAGUGUUGUAGAUGUAGUAUCACACACGACUAGUGUAAGUUUAGCGUUGUUGUUGACUUAAAUAUGUUGGUAAUAAAAAUCUGAAAUUUCAAAUAAUCUGUAGCUUUAUUUUUAAGCAGUCACUAGAUUAAGGGCAUUUAGUUCUGAAAAUGUAGUUAUGUAAUUAAUAAAUUUGUUUCACAAAAGCUGGAUACAAUAUUUAAUUUUACUUAAAGUUUUAAAAUAUUCUCCACUUGGUCUGUGCCGCUGUGCAAAAUAUUUUGAUUACAAUUUCAACCUAGUGGUCAACCUCAGUCUAGUGUCCAGUCUUGUUGUCCAUUGUUGUUGUCUGGCUGUCCACUCUUGUAGUUCCAAUAACUUUGACAGUGACUUUCUAAUGUAAACUGACAAAUGUAUUUUUCCAAACACUUCAAUGACACUAAGAUUGUAGAACUAGGUUGUGUUUCCUGACUAUUUUGUUGUACAUCACUUAACUGUGUUGUUGUCCUUUACUAGGUUGUGUUGUUGUCCUUCACUAGGUUGUGUUGUGAUCAAGAUACUUUGUAUGCAGCCAUGGAACAGCAGGGGAUGGUUGUAGUUGUUCUUGUUCAAUUAGUUGGCUUUUGAUGACAUUUGAAAGUCAUAAACUUUUUAAUAAGCUGAGAAUAAAUUGUUCACUCUGAUUAU